AGCGAACGAGGGAGGCAGGAGGAACACAUGCAAGUCGAACGAACCUUUCGGGGUUAGUGGCGGACGGGUGAGUAACACGUGGGAACGUGCCUUUAGGUUCGGAAUAACUCAGGGAAACUUGUGCUAAUACCGAAUGUGCCCUUCGGGGGAAAGAUUAAUCGCCUUUAGAGCGGCCCGCGUCUGCUUAGCUAGUUGGUUGAGGUAAUGGCUCACCAAGGCGACGAUCAGUAGCUGGGCUGAGAGGAUGAUCAGCCACAUUGGGACUGAGACACGGCCCAAACUCCUACGGGAGGCAGCAGUGGGGAAUCUUGCGCAAUGGGCGAAAGCCUGACGCAGCCAUGCCGCGUGAAUGAUGAAGGUCUUAGGAUUGUAAAAUUCUUUCAGCGGGGACGAUAAUGACGGUACCCGGAGAAGAAGCCCCGGCUAACUUCGUG
rnacentral:rRNA from 1 species